rnacentral:rRNA from 1 species
GACUGUUUACCAAAAACAUAGCUUUAAGAAUACAUUAUAGAUAGUGACGCCUGCUCAAUGAUUGCAUCAUACAGAAAAACAACAAUUUAAUAGCUGCGGUAAUACCUAACCGCACAAAGGUAGCACAAUAAAUAGCCUGCUAACUACAGGAUCGCAUGAAGGCAUAACGAAACUUUAACUGUCUCAAAACCAUAGACCUAAAUUAGAAUGUGUGUGCAAAUUCACACUAAAACAGCAAGACGAUAAGACCCUAUGAACUUUACCAAAACCCCAAUACUUUACUUAUACAUCACAAUAAAAAUAAGAUAUAUACAUCUUGGAAUCUAAGUUUCGUUGGGGCAACGAUCUCAAAAUAAAUAAAUAAGAUUAUACAUAAUCAAUCAACACAAAACAAACACAUAAGUUAAAUACCACAAAAGAUAAGACCCAUUAAAUAAAAAUGACUUAAUGAACAUAAAAUAAAAGCUCCUUAGGGAUAACAGCGUAAUAUUGUACACAAAGAUUCUUCUCAAACAAUGUUUGCGACCUCGAUGUUGAAUUAC